GUGGGGAAUUUUGGACAAUGGGCGCAAGCCUGAUCCAGCAAUGCCGCGUGCAGGAAGAAGGCCUUCGGGUUGUAAACUGCUUUUGUACGGAACGAAACGGUCCUGGCUAAUAUCCGGGGCUAAUGACGGUACCGUAAGAAUAAGCACCGGCUAACUACGUGCCAGCAGCCGCGGUAAUACGUAGGGUGCGAGCGUUAAUCGGAAUUACUGGGCGUAAAGCGUGCGCAGGCGGUUUUGUAAGACAGGCGUGAAAUCCCCGGGCUCAACCUGGGAAUGGCGCUUGUGACUGCAAGGCUGGAGUGCGGCAGAGGGGGAUGGAAUUCCGCGUGUAGCAGUGAAAUGCGUAGAUAUGCGGAGGAACACCGAUGGCGAAGGCAAUCCCCUGGGCCUGCACUGACGCUCAUGCACGAAAGCGUGGGGAGCAAACAGGAUUAGAAACCCUGGUAGUCC
rnacentral:rRNA from 1 species